rnacentral:rRNA from 1 species
AUUGAACGCUGGCGGCAUGCCUUACACAUGCAAGUCGAACGGCAGCACGGGUGCUUGCACCUGGUGGCGAGUGGCGAACGGGUGAGUAAUACAUCGGAACAUGUCCUGUAGUGGGGGAUAGCCCGGCGAAAGCCGGAUUAAUACCGCAUACGAUCCACGGACGAAAGCGGGGGACCUUCGGGCCUCGCGCUAUAGGGUUGGCCGAUGGCUGAUUAGCUAGUUGGUGGGGUAAAGGCCUACCAAGGCGACGAUCAGUAGCUGGUCUGAGAGGACGACCAGCCACACUGGGACUGAGACACGGCCCAGACUCCUACGGGAGGCAGCAGUGGGGAAUUUUGGACAAUGGGCGAAAGCCUGAUCCAGCAAUGCCGCGUGUGUGAAGAAGGCCUUCGGGUUGUAAAGCACUUUUGUCCGGAAAGAAAUCCUUGACUCUAAUACAGUCGGGGGAUGACGGUACCGGAAGAAUAAGCACCGGCUAACUACGUG